rnacentral:rRNA from 1 species
CCUACGGGUGGCUGCAGUGGGGAAUUUUGGACAAUGGGCGCAAGCCUGAUCCAGCCAUGCCGCGUGCAGGAUGAAGGCCUUCGGGUUGUAAACUGCUUUUGUACGGAACGAAAAGGUGCCUUCUAAUAAAGGGCGCUCAUGACGGUACCGUAAGAAUAAGCACCGGCUAACUACGUGCCAGCAGCCGCGGUAAUACGUAGGGUGCGAGCGGCGAUCGGAAUUAGCGGGCGUAAAGCGAAGACAGGCGGUUAAUCCCCGGGCUCAACCUGGGAACUGCCUUUGUGACUGCAAGGCUGGAGUGCGGCAGAGGGGGAUGGAAUUCCGCGUGUAGCAGUGAAAUGCGUAGAUAUGCGGAGGAACACCGAUGGCGAAGGCAAUCCCCUGGGCCUGCACUGACGCUCAUGCACGAAAGCGUGGGGAGCAAACAGGAUUAGAUACCCCAGUAGUC